CGGAUGCUGACGAGUGGCGAACGGGUGAGUAAUACAUCGGAACGUGCCCGAUCGUGGGGGAUAACGAAGCGAAAGCUUUGCUAAUACCGCAUACGAUCUACGGAUGAAAGCAGGGGACCGCAAGGCCUUGCGCGAACGGAGCGGCCGAUGGCAGAUUAGGUAGUUGGUGGGAUAAAAGCUUACCAAGCCGACGAUCUGUAGCUGGUCUGAGAGGACGACCAGCCACACUGGGACUGAGACACGGCCCAGACUCCUACGGGAGGCAGCAGUGGGGAAUUUUGGACAAUGGGCGAAAGCCUGAUCCAGCCAUGCCGCGUGCAGGAUGAAGGCCUUCGGGUUGUAAACUGCUUUUGUACGGAACGAAAAGACUCUGGUUAAUACCUAGGGUCCAUGACGGUACCGUAAGAAUAAGCACCGGCUAACUACGUGCCAGCAGCCGCGGUAAUACGUAGGGUGCAAGCGUUAAUCGGAAUUACUGGGCGUAAAGCGUGCGCAGGCGGUUAUAUAAGACAGAUGUGAAAUCCCCGGGCUCAACCUGGGAACUGCAUUUGUGACUGUAUAGCUAGAGUACGGCAGAGGGGGAUGGAAUUCCGCGUGUAGCAGUGAAAUGCGUAGAUAUGCGGAGGAACACCGAUGGCGAAGGCAAUCCCCUGGGCCUGUACUGACGCUCAUGCAC
rnacentral:rRNA from 1 species